GAAAUAUUAGGAUAAAUAUUCUAUUAGCCUUCAAAGUUAAAGAUCUAUCUUAUG
rnacentral:tRNA from 1 species